CUUGAGCCGCCCGGAGGAGUGGAAGUUGCCGCGGGAGCCACUGGGAGGAGCGGCACCGGAGCCUCAGAAGCCCUGUCGACCUUCUUCCAAAACUCCUCCGCAAACCCUGAAGCCUGGCAUGCAGCAUUUGACCCUUGUCAUAAGCCAAAGCGUUAUCUGUCUAUCAUCUGUUUGUUAUUUAAUUUGUAAGCAUGCUUUGUCUGUGUGCCACAUCCGUGCAGUGCUUGUGUUGGUCAGAAGAGGUCGUCAGAUCUGGGACUGGAAUGCUGGUCAUAAAUUGCCAUGUGGGAGCUGGGAAUCGAACCCAGUGGGGUCGUCUGGAACAGCAGCCAGAGCUCUCACCCGCUGAGCUGUGUUCCCAGCCCCUUUGCAUAAUAUUUUAUCCUUACCAAAAUAAAUAAAUAAAUGAAAACA